rnacentral:rRNA from 1 species
AGCGAACGCUGGCGGCAGGCUUAACACAUGCAAGUCGAGCGGGCACUUCGGUGUCAGCGGCAGACGGGUGAGUAACACGUGGGAACGUGCCCUUCGGUUCGGAAUAACUCAGGGAAACUUGAGCUAAUACCGGAUACGCCCUUUUGGGGAAAGGUUGACCGCCGAAGGAUCGGCCCGCGUCUGAUUAGCUUGUUGGUGGGGUAACGGCCUACCAAGGCGACGAUCAGUAGCUGGUCUGAGAGGAUGAUCAGCCACACUGGGACUGAGACACGGCCCAGACUCCUACGGGAGGCAGCAGUGGGGAAUAUUGGACAAUGGGCGCAAGCCUGAUCCAGCCAUGCCGCGUGAGUGAUGAAGGCCUUAGGGUUGUAAAGCUCUUUUGUCCGGGACGAUAAUGACGGUACCGGAAGAAUAAGCCCCGGCUAACUUCGUGCCAGCCGCCGCUGAAACAC